rnacentral:rRNA from 1 species
CAGCAGCCGCGGUAAUACCCGCAGCCCAAGUGGUGGUCGAUAUUAUUGAGUCUAAAACGUUCGUAGCCUGUUCAAUAAAUCCUUGGGUAAAUCGGUGAGCUUAACUUACCGACUUCCGAGGCGACUGUUGAACUUGGGACCGGGAGAGGCAAGAGGUACUUCUGGGGUAGGGGUAAAAUCCUGUAAUCCUAGAAGGACCACCGGUGGCGAAGGCGUCUUGCUAGAACGGAUCCGACGGUGAGGGACGAAGCCCUGGGGCGCAAACGGGAUUAGAUACCCCGGUAGUCCAGGGUGUAAACGCUGCAGGCGUGGUGUUGGAGACCCUUCGGGGGUGUUCAGUGCCGGAGAGAAGUUGUUAAGCCUGCUACUUGGGGAGUACGUCCGCAAGGAUGAAACUUAAAGGAAUUGGCGGGGGAGCACCGCAACGGGAGGAGCGUGCGGUUUAAUUGGAUUCAACACCGGAAAACUCACCAGGAGCGACGGUUACAUGAAAGUCAGGCUGAUGACCUUACUCGAUUUUCCGAGAGGAGGUGCAUGGCC